GUGGCCGCGCACGCGCUCUGCGCGCUGGCGUCACUUAGCAACGGCUCAACCGUGGGCCAGUAGAACCCAGGACGCCAGGGCCCCAGGUCGCCUCAGGCGGGGGUCUUGCGGCGUGUUUCCCCAGGUCGGAGCCACUGCCCCUCCAGUACUGGGCCCUGAGGGUGUGGCCGCCCUGCCGACACCUGGCUCAGGGUGAGGCACGUCAUCACACGUCACUGAAUAGCGUCAUCGGUCGCGUCACUGCGUAAGGGGACGAGCCGGAGCGCCGGUUGGAGAAAGCCUCGUCUUUCUGCACUUAGUCGCUUGCCUGAUGGACAGUCAGCUACGUGCGAGAAGUUGGACGAGGAGAAUGGGCCAAGAGAGGCAUUACCAGCAUGAAGGUGCUACGAGGCCAGGCCUGAAAUACCACGACUCAGUUUCCUCCUUCUGUCAGUGGGAAGACGGAUACCCGACUUGCCUGCGCUAGAAAGGUGUCAACUUAGGACGAAAUAAUGCAUGCGAGGCUGCGGGCGAACUGAUCUCAUUCGAACUCCUUAUUUCAAGACCCUGACAGAAAGCCCGGACAUAAGUCCUCGACACUCCAGGACUACCAAGUGUAACGUAUAAAGCCCAUUAGACUCCAUCUUUCACAUAAGAAGCAGGCACUGUGAACUUUGAAGCCGUAGAAAUUGGGUUGUAGGUCUUUCCUGGCCGAAACUGGAGAGUCGUCACUCUUGAAAGUUACUUACCUGGGUGUGUGGGUUUGAAGAUGGAAGACUUAAUUCCAAGCAAAGACGACUUAAAUGGGCAGUGAAAAUGAACAGACACAGCAAGGGUUAGGGCUGGGCCAGUGAAGGAUCAGAGCCACAACCUAGACUCUGGCGGUGGGGAUGGAAACGCGGAGGCCAGCUCUGAGCGGGGGAAUGAAUAGGUAGGCCAGGUUUCUAGCGUGGUUGCUGAGACAGGUGGGAGUAACAUUUAGCAAGACGGAAAGAAAGCUGCCUUUGUGUGUCAGUUACUAAAUGGUAGUGACAUUCCUUACGGAUGACAUGGUAGAACGAUGGAAUGUGGAUACGUUGGUUGGGGAAACAUUCUCCGCUCUCAUCUUCCAUGUGGAACGAUAUCCAUCAAUUUAAUACAUCUACUUUCCG
rnacentral:lncRNA from 1 species